UACAGAGGUCUCAAGCGUUGUUCGGAUUCAUUGGGCGUAAAGGGUGCGUAGGCGGCGCGGUAAGUCGGGUGUGAAAUCUCGGAGCUUAACUCCGAAACUGCAUUCGAUACUGCCGUGCUAGAGGACUGGAGAGGAGACUGGAAUUUACGGUGUAGCGGUGAAAUGCGUAGAUAUCGUAAGGAAGACCAGUGGCGAAGGCGGGUCUCUGGACAGUUACUGACACUGAGGCACGAAGGCCAGGGGAGCAAACGGG
rnacentral:rRNA from 1 species